rnacentral:lncRNA from 1 species
UCAUACUAUUACAAUAGUAAAAAUCUUUAUACUAUUACAUAUAGAAUAUAGAAUUAUAUAUAGAACAAUAGUGAAAAUCUUUUCUACUACUAUAUUUAGAAUUGUGCACACAACAAAUUGUUCUUAUUUUUUUCUCAUUGCAACAUUCUUCUAACAACCUCAAUUAAUCAAGCAGAAGGGUAAUCACAGAUAAUCCAAACAUAUUUGAUUAGAUGGUACAUAUAGCCAGACGGUGAGAUUAAGUCUUACAAACGAAACAUUAAUCACAGCUUAUAAUCCACAACAAAAAAUCACCAUUCCAAGAAACCAUUAGAGCCACACUUGUACUUGUCUUUUCCUUUGCACUCCAACUCCAAAUCCUCAGAGAUGAAUGGAACUUUCUGAAAAAUCAACAUUAUAAUUAAUAUGUAAUCUGAAUUUAUUAUGUAACUAGUUACUUAGUUUAAUUAGUUUUACCUUUUGCUUGGCAAGAUCCUGGCAGCCAGUGAAGUUCUCAGGGAACUUGCAGGAGCCAAACUGGACAGUGUAUGCUCUUGCAAAGUUUGCUCCACUUGUUGCCAGCCUCUUCUGGUCAUUCAAUUCCUGCUCAUCGACACAAUCAUUCAGUUUUCGCAAGGUAGUAAUUAUCAAUAGCUAUCAGAAUAUGUAAGUUGUUUGAAUACAACAUACCUUGUUGACUUUGCUCUUCUCAAGGUAGUCAUCAAUGACACCAGCGUUGGCCGAGAAGGAAGUAGAAACAGUUGCAGUGGCAAACAGUGUAGCUGCAAGGAAAGCCACUGCAGCCUUUUUCCCAUUU